GGGCAGAAAAUUUUCUGCCGAUUGUCGAAAAUUUUCUCGGAAGAACGGGGAAGCAAUUUUAAUACAUUUAAGUUCUAGGUCGCCCACCAGUAUAAUGCGGGAAUACUUUUAUGUUCUAGGUCGCCCACCAGUAUAAUGCGGGAAUACUUUUAAGUUCUAGGUCGCCCACCAGUAUAAUGCGGGAAUACAUUUAAGUUCUAGGUCGCCCACCAGUAUAAUGCAGGAAUACAUUUAAGUUCUAGGUCGCCCACCAGUAUAAUGCGGGAAUACUUUUAAGUUCUAGGUCGCCCACCAGUAUAAUGCGGGAAUACAUUUAAGUUCUAGGUCGCCCACCAGUAUAAUGCGGGAAUACAUUUAAGUUCUAGGUCGCCCACCAGUAUAAUGCGGGAAUACUUUUAAGUUCUAGGUCGCCCACCAGUAUAAU
rnacentral:lncRNA from 1 species